AUGUUUCUGCGUUCCUGAGUCGCUUUCAGAGGAGAGUGCAUCCCGGUCAUAUCGGUGCUUUUCUCUGUAACUAGUUCGAGAUUCCCUCCAUCUUCCAUCUCGAGAUCUUCCGAACUCAUCAAAUCCUUCAUCAUCUCGUGUUCUAUAAUGUCGUUCCCGACGUCGAGUUGGUCUAUAUCGAUCUUCAUACCUUUCUUUAUGAGAGCGUGAAUAAGAGCGAAUAUCGUACCUCUCACCUCUUGGCUUUUCUGAGAACCGAGAAUGAGGCGACGGGCUUCGACCAUAUCUGUUACGUUCAGUGUCACUUGCAUCAUGAAACCUUUUACGGUCUAAAGUAGACCGUGAUGUUCUUUUCCCAUUUCUUUCUCUUGAGUCAUAAUAAGUUGACUCGCGCCUUGAUUCUCUACGAUUUGAAUGA